rnacentral:rRNA from 1 species
CUCGCCAGGGAACUACAAGCAUAAGCUUAAAACCCAAAGGACUUGGCGGUGCUUUAGAUCCACCUAGAGGAGCCUGUUCUAGAACCGAUAACCCCCGUUCAACCUCACCCUCCCUUGCCUCUCCCGCCUAUAUACCACCGUCGUCAGCUUACCCUAUGAAGGCCCCAUAGUAAGCAAAAUUGGUAUAGCCCAAAACGUCAGGUCGAGGUGUAGCGUACGAGAGGGGAAGAAAUGGGCUACAUUUACUGAUACAGUAUACACGAACGAUGAAUUGAAAUAAACAUCUGAAGGAGGAUUUAGCAGUAAGGAGGAAAACAGAGCGUUCCCCUGAAACCGGCCCUGAAGCGCGCACACACCGCCCGUCACUCUCCCCAAGCCACACUUCACCCGUAAAUAAAACCCAACAAUUGCAAAGGGGAGGCAAGUCGUAACAUGGUAAGUGUACCGGAAGGUGCACUUGGAAAAAU